AGAGUUUGAUCCUGGCUCAGAUUGAACGCUGGCGGAAUGCUUUACACAUGCAAGUCGAACGGCAGCACGGACUUCGGUCUGGUGGCGAGUGGCGAACGGGUGAGUAAUAUAUCGGAACGUGCCCAGUCGUGGGGGAUAACGUAGUGAAAAUUACGCUAAUACCGCAUACGAUCUAAGGAUGAAAGCGGGGGAUCGCAAGACCUCGCGCGAUUGGAGCGGCCGAUAUCAGAUUAGGUAGUUGGUGAGGUAAAGGCUCACCAAGCCAACGAUCUGUAGCUGGUCUGAGAGGACGACCAGCCACACUGGAACUGAGACACGGUCCAGACUCCUACGGGAGGCAGCAGUGGGGAAUUUUGGACAAUGGACGCAAGUCUGAUCCAGCCAUUCCGCGUGCAGGACGAAGGCCUUCGGGUUGUAAACUGCUUUUGUACAGAACGAAAAGGUCUCUAUUAAUACUGGGGGCUCAUGACGGUACUGUAAGAAUAAGCACCGGCUAACUACGUGCCAGCAGCCGCGGUAAUACGUAGGGUGCAAGCGUUAAUCGGAAUUACUGGGCGUAAAGCGUGCGCAGGCGGUUAUAUAAGACAGAUGUGAAAUCCCCGGGCUCAACCUGGGAACUGCAUUUGUGACUGUAUAGCUGGAGUGCGGCAGAGGGGGAUGGAAUUCCGCGUGUAGCAGUGAAAUGCGUAGAUAUGCGGAGGAACACCGAUGGCGAAGGCAAUCCCCUGGGCCUGCACUGACGCUCAUGCACGAAAGCGUGGGGAGCAAACAGGAUUAGAUACCCUGGUAGUCCACGCCCUAAACGAUGUCAACUG
rnacentral:rRNA from 1 species